CUAAGGCUGGGCGGGGGAGAUACAGCUCAGUGCAAAGGCCCUGGGUUCAGUGUCCAGUACCAUGAGAAAGGAGACAGUUUCUGCUCCAGCAGCUCCCAACAGGUCCUCGGGACAGCAUCAGAGCCCCGCCCGGGCAGCAGAGGGGCCGGGACUCUGAGAUGAGAAGAUGGAGCCCUGGUGUGGCCAGGCUGCGCCCCUUGUCGCCCAAAGCCCACUCGGGGCACCGCCCAGGCUGGCCUCAAACUCACGGAGAUCCUCCUGCCUCAGCCUCCUGAGUAGCUGGGGUUACAGGUCUGUGUCCCUGUGCCCAGCUUGAGCAGGAUUUUGGAUGGAGAAGAAAGGAACGACAGAGCAGUGAGGUAAGAUGAGGAUCCCCUGGGGCUCACCUCGGGGUUCACCCUUGGCCCUGAAGCCUGUUCAUCCAGAAUCCACAGAGGCGGAGCACAAACCGCACACAGGAAGCUGUGACUGGCCCAGCAUGGAGAUCCAGGAAGGAGCUCAGCCCAGGGGCCGCUGGGACACGGGUCCGGGGUCACAGCCUGGACCCCACUGGAACCAGCCCACGAGGAGUGGAGAGCACAAGUUAGAUACAUUUUAAUUAUCUGAUCUCCAAAGAAGCUCCAUCAAGUACCAGAGCUACUAGCCUAGUUUGAAGAGAACCACACAAAGCCGGACAGGGUUGCACUGAGGAGCCCAGGCCGGCCCCAACUUGCCAAGGUCCUCCUGCCUCAGCCUCCCGAGUACCAGGACGACAGGCGUGUGCCACCAGGCCUGGCUAGGCCCCUACUUCUUUCUCCAGCCAAAAUGCCACUGAGGCCGCCACCGUCCAGCCUGUCGGUGUCUCUCACUUUGCACACGGCUCCGGCUCCCUGCCUGUGACAGGAUGUGCGCUGUUCCCGGUUCACCCUUCUGCCGCCCCUACACUAUGCAGACUAAAAUGAUGAUACCUUCAGGGGAAAGAGUGGGGUUUGCAAAUUCCCUCCAGGCCCAGGGGUUACCCCUGCUCCAGUCUGGACACCACGUG
rnacentral:lncRNA from 1 species